rnacentral:rRNA from 1 species
GACGAACGCUGGCGGCGUGCCUAACACAUGCAAGUCGAACGAACGGGCGGAGGUUUUGUUUCUCGAGCGAGUGGCGCACGGGUGAGUCAAGCGUGAGGCUCCCGCCCCUAUGAGGGGGACAACACUUGGGGACGCCAGCUAACACCGCGUACGCUCACUACCAGGGCUUGGGUGGAGGGAGAAGGGGCGUUCUGCUUUGAGAUAGCCUGGAGUCCGAUUAGCUGGUUGGUGUGGUAAUGGCCAACGAAGCCGGCGAUCGGUCUCCGGACGGGGAGGGUGAGCCGCCACAUUGGGACUGGGACACGGCCCAGACCCCGACGGGAGGCAGCAGUGGUGAAGAAUGCACAAUGGGGGAAACACUGAUGCAGCGGCGCCGCGUGGAGGAAGAAGGUCUGCGGAUUGUAAGCUCCUGUUGUUGAGGAAGAUAAGGACGUUACUCAACAAGGAACAGACGCCAAACUACGU